rnacentral:rRNA from 1 species
AGCAUAUCAAUAAGCGGAGGAAAAGAAACCAACAGGGAUUGCCCUAGUAACGGCGAGUGAAGCGGCAACAGCUCAAAUUUGAAAUCUGGCUUCGGCCCGAGUUGUAAUUUGCAGAGGAUGCUUCUGGCGCGGUGCCUUCCGAGUUCCCUGGAACGGGACGCCACAGAGGGUGAGAGCCCCGUAUGGUCGGACACCAAGCCUGUGUGAAGCUCCUUCAACGAGUCGAGUAGUUUGGGAAUGCUGCUCUAAAUGGGAGGUAAAUCUCUUCUAAAGCUAAAUACCGGCCAGAGACCGAUAGCGCACAAGUAGAGUGAUCGAAAGAUGAAAAGCACCUUGAAAAGGGGGUUAAAUAGUACGUGAAAUUGUUGAAAGGGAAGCACUUAUGACCAGACUUGGGCCGGGCGGCUCAUCAGGGGUUCUCCCCUGUGCACUCCGCCCGGCACAGGCCAGCAUCGGUUCUCGUGGGGGGAUAAGACCGUCAGGAACGUAGCACCCUCCGGGGUGUGUUAUAGCCUGGCGGACGAUACCCCCGUGGGGACCGAGGUCCGCGCUCCGCAAGGAUGCUGGCGUAAUGGUCAUCAGUGACCCGUCUU